rnacentral:rRNA from 1 species
GACGAACGCUGGCGGCGUGCUUAACACAUGCAAGUCGAACGGAAAGGCCCUGCUUUUGUGGGGUGCUCGAGUGGCGAACGGGUGAGUAACACGCGAGUAACCUGCCCUUGACUUUGGGAUAACUUCAGGAAACUGGGGCUAAUACCGGAUAGGAGCUCCUGCUGCAUGGUGGGGGUUGGAAAGUUUCGGCGGUUGGGGAUGGACUCGCGGCUUAUCAGCUUGUUGGUGGGGUAGUGGCUUACCAAGGCUUUGACGGGUAGCCGGCCUGAGAGGGUGACCGGCCACAUUGGGACUGAGAUACGGCCCAGACUCCUACGGGAGGCAGCAGUGGGGAAUAUUGCACAAUGGGCGGAAGCCUGAUGCAGCAACGCCGCGUGCGGGAUGACGGCCUUCGGGUCGUAAACCGCUUUCGCCUGUGACGAAGCGUGAGUGACGGUAAUGGGUAAAGAAGCACCGGCUAACUACGUG